AUAAACGAAGUUUCAUUAGCGACGAAUUACUGUGAAAAUUAGUGUCACGAGAGAGGCAUUUGACGGUGAUCGAGUAAAUUCUACAAUCCUCGAUUGCUUUCGGGAAUCCGAUGCAAAAACAGUUUCUUAUUAUUAUAUGUUACAUCUCUUAAAAUUGCACGAUCUCCUUUAACACGUUAAGCGCCGAAAAACAACCCCUAAAAUCCCCAUAACGUCGAAACAAUUUAAUCGAUGAAACCGAAACUAGGAAGUUAAAAUUGAUCAUAGUGGAUGACAGUAGAACGCUUUCGUAUCCGAGGCAUCCUAAUUAAAUUGUGAUUGUUCAAAUAUGUUACAAUGAAAAUGAAUUCUCAAAAUUGGUCAAAAAUUAGUGUCACCCGUAUGUGGUCAACGCGGCGCUCAACGUGUUAAAAAAAAAUUGGAUUUAAUUGCAUAACAUUUCAUCGCUCAACGCUACAAUGGAAAUUUUGAAAUCGAUUCUUUCGAGUGACAUUUUGGUGCAUGUGAUAUUUCUCCACCAAACGACUGAUUCAUAAUACGAUUUAAUACGCGAAACAGAUUCUGUAUACAUUUCGAACGUAUUAUUGAGUAAAGCACCCUUAUCUCAGAUUGGUGUCGCGAUAAAAAGAAGUGGAAUAUUAUUUACAAGGUUGAACAAAUUCCAAUGUAACGCUCAUUUGAGUCGUCGAUAAAAUCACUAGCAGUCGUGAAACAAAUGCAACUGAGAUCGACAUCGUUAUAAAACACUGCAGAUUAUCGCAACCAGACCGCGGAUCUUCGCGCCAAAUAAAAAGUUUGCGACUCGUUUGUAUGAAAUGGAAAUUAAACAACAAUGUAUUUCUUCUUUGAAUAAAUUUAGAAAAUUGAAGAG